rnacentral:rRNA from 1 species
UACGAAGGGGGCUAGCGUUGCUCGGAAUGACUGGGCGUAAAGGGUGCGUAGGCGGGUCUUUUAAGUCAGGGGUGAAAUCCUGGAGCUCAACUCCAGAACUGCCUUUGAUACUGAAGAUCUUGAGUUCGGGAGAGGUGAGUGGAACUGCAGUGUAGAGGUGAAAUUCGUAGAUAUUCGCAAGAACACCAGUGGCGAAGGCGGCUCACUGGCCCGAUACUGACGCUGAGGCACGAAAGCGUGGGGGAGCAAACAGG